CGGGGCAUAGCGCAGCCCGGUAGCGCACCUCGCUUGGGACGAGGGGGUCGCAGGUUCAAAUCCUGUUGCUCCGACCA
rnacentral:tRNA from 1 species